rnacentral:rRNA from 1 species
GACGUAGGGAGCAAGCGUUGUCCGGAAUUACUGGGCGUAAAGAGCUCGUAGGCGGGACCGUAAGUCCGAGAGGAAAUCUCAAGGCUCAACUUUGGGGCUUUCUUGGAUACUGCGGUUCUUGAGGAUGGGAGAGGUAAGUAGAAUUCCCGGUGUAGCGGUGAAAUGCGUAGAUAUCGGGAGGAAUACCAGUGGCGAAGGCGGCUUACUGGCCCAUUCCUGACGCUGAGGAGCGAAAGCGUGGGGAGCAAACGGG